ACUUUAAAGCUUCAUGUUUCUUUACACUUCGUGUUUUACAAGAAUCUAGGGCACAGAUGAAACCGUGCCAAACUUGGCAUUUGGUCAUUCAAACAAUUGAAUGAAAGAAGAAAAUUAUGGCAAAAGUGGUUGUUAAUGAAUCUGGAUUCAUAUGGUUGUUGAUUUGAAAUUGCUUUUCACUUUGAGCAGGGUGCAAGUGGUUAAUUAGUUAAUUGUUUUCACUCAAGUUUUGCUGAUUGUUCAAAUGAGUUUUAAUCACCUAAAUCAUGUUCUGUUUUUAAAUGGGGAGGUUAGUGGGAUCUGUUUUCAUAAGUCCCUUUAUCUCUCGAUGUGAAGCCCACAAACCAAUUAGUGACGGUUGAAAGCCUCAAACAUUGCGGGCCGAAAUGGAGGUACAGUGACGGUUAACAACCGCCUCCAUUGUCGAUGACGAAAUUGCGUUGUAUUUCUCAGAUCGGAGCUGUUACGAGUGGCAAGCUAGAGCUGUACUUUGAUUUGGGGCGACAAUGAUGUAGCCUGAUCCACAACACCACAAACAACAGCACCCGCAACAUCAGCAACAACACCCUCAACAUCAGCAGCACCACCCUCAACAUCACCACCGGCCCCAAUGAUGCGUCAGCCGUCAGUAUGGCCCGUGUAUCACAACCCGCCUGUGCUCUCUCCUCCUCUUCCUCCUAAUGAUGCUCAUGCUGACAGUUUUCUUGGAUAAAAGAUGAGAAAGCUUGCACAGAGGAGAGCAGUUGAUUAUACUAGCACUUUCGUGCGAUAUAUGCAGACUCAGACACGGACACUUUGCCACGCUGACGAGCACUCCUUCUUGUUACAAUUCAAGGAAAGCUUUACGAUAGACUAGUCAGCUUCUAGAUCUCCUUUUGCUUAUCCGAAGGUAGCAUCAUCUUGGGCUCGAGAAGGAGAUCAGAAUCAGAGUAAAUGUUGUUCGUGGGAUGGUGUUGAGUGCCAUGCGGAGUCUGGCCGUGUCAUUGGCCUUGACCUCAAGAGCAGCUGUCUUUAUGGUUCUAUCAAUUCCAACAGCACCCUCUUCCGACUUGUUCACUUGCAGAUGCUUGACCUCUCAGAUAACAACUUUAAUUCGUCUGAAAUACCAUCGAGAUUUGGCCAUGACCUUUCGAGUCUAUCCUAUCUCAACCUUUCACUAUCUGCAUUUUCUGGCCAAAUUCCAUCUGAAAUUUCAAAGCUAUCUAAACUGUCUACCCUUGAUCUGUCUCAAAAUAAUGGUUUGGAGCUUAGGAAGUCCAACAUGAGAAUCCUAGUCCAAAACUUGACCAGCAUAAAACAACUUCAUCUUAGUGAUGUAGGCAUAUACUCCACUGUGCCUGAUAUCUUGGUCAAUGCAUCUUCUUUCACAUCUCUCAAUCUAAGCUACUGUGGGUGGUAGGGGGAAUUCCCAGUAGGCAUUUUCCACCUACCAAACCUAGAGGAGCUUAGUUUAUACUCAAACAUUGGUUAUUUUUCCUACUUUUAACCGGACCAAUUCCUUCAAAACAUUGGAUGUUUCAUCGACAAAUUUCUCUGGUGAACUUCCUAAUUCUAUCGGAAACCUUCAUUCCUUAAACUACUUUGAUAUCUCAUACUGUGGUUUUGAUUCCCAUGUUCCAUCUUCAUUUGGAAACCUUACCCAGCUCAGUUUCCUUGAGAUGGCUUCAUUUCAUGAUGUUUCCGCAGGCCAAUUCUUAGUUCCUGAUUCCUUGUCUUGUUUUGGAAAAUUAACCAAGCUCAGCUACUUGGAUCUUUCGGAUAUUAACUUACAAUUUCCCACGUUUUGUGGCUAACCUGACCCAACUUGCGUUCCUAUAUUUGUCUACAAUUCAUUAACUGGUGAAAUCCCUAAGUCGCUUUUCCACCUCAGAAA